GACAGAGGAUGCAAGCGUUAUCCGGAAUGAUUGGGCGUAAAGCGUCUGUAGGUGGCUUUUUAAGUCUGCCGUCAAAUCCCAGGGCUUAACCCUGGACAGGCGGUGGAAACUACCAAGCUGGAGUACGGUAGGGGCAGGGGGAAUUUCCGGUGGAGCGGUGAAACGCGUAGAGAUCGGAAAGAACACCAACGGCGAAAGCACUCUGCUGGGCCGACACUGACACUGAGAGACGAAAGCUAGGGGAGCGAAUGGG
rnacentral:rRNA from 1 species